rnacentral:rRNA from 1 species
AGCAGCCGCGGUAAUUCCAGCUCCAAUAGCGUAUAUUAAAGUUGCUGCAGUUAAAAAGCUCGUAGUUGAAUUUCGGGACCAUCAUGUCGGUCGUGCCUCGGUACGUACUGGCAUUGUUGGUUUCUCCCUUCUGACGAACCAUGAUGUCAUUUAUUUGGUGUCAUGGGAAAUCAGGACUGUUACUUUGAAAAAAUUAGAGUGUUUAAAGCAGGCUCACGCUUGAAUACAUUAGCAUGGAAUAAUGAAAUAGGACGUUUGAUUCUAUUUUGUUGGUUUCUAGGAUCGACGUAAUGAUUAAUAGGGAUAGUUGGGGGCAUUAGUAUUCAAUUGUCAGAGGUGAAAUUCUUGGAUUUAUUGAAGACUAACUACUGCGAAAGCAUUUGCCAAGGAUGUUUUCAUUAAUCAAGAACGAAAGUUAGGGGAUCGAAGACGAUCAGAUACCGUCGUAGUCUUAACCAUAAACUAUGCCGACUAGGGAUCGGAU